UACGUAGGGGGCAAGCGUUGUCCGGAAUCAUUGGGCGUAAAGCGCGUGUAGGCGGUCCGAUAAGUCGGCUGUGAAAGUCCAGGGCUCAACCCUGGGAUGCCGGUCGAUACUGUCGGACUAGAGUUCGGAAGAGGCGAGUGGAAUUCCCGGUGUAGCGGUGAAAUGCGCAGAUAUCGGGAGGAACACCAAUGGCGAAGGCAGCUCGCUGGGACGUUACUGACGCUGAGACGCGAAAGCGUGGGGAGCAAACAGG
rnacentral:rRNA from 1 species